rnacentral:rRNA from 1 species
GAUGAACGCUGGCGGCGUGCCUAAUACAUGCAAGUCGAGCGAACAGAUAAGGAGUUUUCUCCUCUGACGUUAGCGGCGGACGGGUGAGUAACACGUGGGUAACCUAACUAUAAGACUGGGAUAACUUCGGGAAACCGGAGCUAAUACCGGAUAAUAUUUCGACCCGCAUGGUUCGCUAGUGCAAGAUGGUUUUGCUAUCACUUAUCGACAGACCCGCGCCGGAUUAGCUAGUUGGUUAGGUAACGGCUUACCAAGGCGACGAUGCGUAGCCGUGCUGAGAGGGUGCUCGGCCAGACUGGAACUUAGACAUGGUCCAGACUCCUGCGUGGGGCAGCAGUAGCGAAUCUUCCGCGAUGGGCGAAAGCUUGACGGAGCAAAGCGGCGUGAGUGAUGAAGGUCUUCGGAUCGGAAAAUUCUGUUAUUAGGGUAGAUCGUACGUGUAAGUAACUGUGAACGUCUUGACGGUACCUAGUCAGAAAGCCACGGCUAACUACGUG